rnacentral:rRNA from 1 species
UAACCUGCCUAUUAGAGGGGGAUAACUAUUGGAAACGAUAGCUAAUACCGCAUAACAGUAUGUAACACAUGUUAGAUGCUUGAAAGAUGCAAUUGCAUCGCUAGUAGAUGGACCUGCGUUGUAUUGGCUAGUAGGUAGGGUAAUGGCCUACCUAGGCGACGAUACAUAGCCGACCUGAGAGGGUGAUCGGCCACACUGGGACUGAGACACGGCCCAG